AUAUGCAUGCAUUAUGAGUAUACGUAACUUUAAUGCACUUAGGUUUUUUGGUUUAAAUCUUGAAGAUAGUUAAAUUCAGCAGCACUAGAUCUAUCUCAGCCUUCUGAAGGGUUUUUUUAAUUUCAAUCCCAUUUCCCAUGAGGGGGGAGAAAUGCAGCUAAGUAAGUUGACUGCAGGCCACACCUGGCAGAGAGGACCGUUGAGGAGGGAGACCCAGAUGCCAGCCCCGGGGCAGGCAACAGGUCGGUAUUAUUGCUCUAGAGCUGUUUUUGUCGUUCUCUGAUCUUUUCCAGCCACCGGCUGUUUUCAUGUGGUUGUUUUCACAGUGCAGAAACAAUUUUGCCUGCUUCUCUCCCUUAACGUUGCUGUAAACAAGUUUCCCAUGUCAUGCAGAACUAUGACUGGAGACGUGCUAUUUCACACUGCUCAUGUGCCAAGGUUACGUGACCAUGCCCUCGUGUGCAAUACUAAGUUUAUUUCAAACCGUUAUUCUAAAAGAUGCUGCAGUGUAUACUCUACAUGGACUAUGGAGCAGUCAGAAACAAUGAACUAAAGCUACACAUAGCAACAUAGAUGUUUUAUAACAAGAGGAAAAAGAAGCAGGAAGAGAUUUCAUGGCAGAAAACCACAUAGGUAAAUUUACACACAAAACAAUAUCACAUCUUUUACAAGGAUAUAUGUACAUCUAGGCUAUGUAUCAAACACAAGAAAUAGGUGUCUUUAAAAGGAAGGGAUAUGUGAUAAGGGACGGAUAAAGAAUGAGAAGGCAAGACACCAUAAAACUCCUAGAAGAGAACAUGGACAAAACAUUCUCUGACAUCAACCAUGCAAACGUUUUCUUAGAUCAGUCUCCCAAGGCAAUAGAAAUAGAAAUAAAAACAAAAAUAAACCAGAGACCUAAUCAAACUUACAAGCUUUUGCACAGCAAAGAAAACCAUUAAAAAAAAAAAAGAGAGAGAGAUAACCUAUGGAAGGGGAGAAAAUAGUUGCAAACGAUGUGACUGACAAGGGCUUAAUCUCCAAAAUAUCCAAAAAGCUCAUACAACUCAACAGUUAAAAAAAAAAAAAAAAGAAAGAAAAAGAAAAAAAAAAGAAAAGAAAAA
rnacentral:lncRNA from 1 species